GUGGGUGUAGCUCAGGGGUUAGAGCGCCGGGUUGUGGCCCCGGAGGUCGGGGGUUCAAAUCCCCUCACUCACCCCA
rnacentral:tRNA from 2 species